AUCACUUUUCGGUCUUUUGCCUAAGAUCAAGUGUAGUAUCUGUUCGUAUCCAUUUAAUAUCUGAUAUGUUUUCUAUCUGAUGACAAUAUAGUAAAUGAAUUUUUGGCACUAGGAACUGGAAUAGGAGCUUGCUCUGUCCAUUCCACACCUCGACCUGGUUUUGCGGUACCUGCAGAAAUGGUGCACCAAAA